rnacentral:lncRNA from 1 species
GGGAACAGGGAAUGGGGGAACAGGGAUUGGGGGAACGGGGAUUGGGGGAACAGGGAAUGGGGAAACAGGGAAUGGGGAAACAAGGAAUGUGGGAACAGGCAAUGGGGGGAUGGGGGAACAGGGAAUGGGAAACAGGGAAUGGGGGAAUGGAGGAACAGGGAAUGGGGGAACAAGGAAUGGGGGAAGGCUAUUUUUGAACUAGGUAACAGGAAUGGGGAAAUGUGGGAACGGGGGAAUGCGGGAAUGUAGGUUAAUGAAUUUUUCUUGAAAUUUCUAGCCAAAGAAAGAUUUAAAUACGUGUUGAAAGGAAAUCCACUGUAUUGCAAUUAUUUAAAUGAAAGUGUUGGCGUGCACGGACUCUUUAUUAAUAGUAAUAUUAUAAUUAAAUAAAGUAAAUAUAAUUAUAUAUAUUAAUAUUAAUAGCAACUAUUAAUUUAACAUAAUAUUACAAUAUUUAGCAUAUUUACAAUUAUUGUACAUAUAUAAUAAGACAUAUAAAGAUGGAUAAAGCAUCAAUAAAACAUCGAUAAAAUUCAUGAACUGUUGACUGUCGUUUGAAGAGUAGAUUUUCAAAUUUAAUAUUAGUUUUUGACAUUAGGGAGCAGUCAUUAUUAAUGCUGGGGGUGGGGCCGGAAGAUAU